rnacentral:rRNA from 1 species
CGAUCUCUAGCUGUUCUGAGAGGAAGAUCAGCCACACUGGGACUGAGACACGGCCCAGACUCCUACGGGAGGCAGCAGUGGGGAAUAUUGCACAAUGGGGGAAACCCUGAUGCAGCCAUGCCGCGUGUGUGAAGAAGGCCUUCGGGUUGUAAAGCACUUCCAGUUGUGAGGAAAGGUUGGUAGUUAAUACCUGCCAGCUGUGACGUUAACAACAGAAGAAGCACCGGCUAACUCCGUGCCAGCAGCCGCGGUAAUACGGAGGGUGCGAGCGUUAAUCGGAAUUACUGGGCGUAAAGCGUACGCAGGCGGCUUGUUAAGCCAGAUGUGAAAGCCCCGGGCUCAACCUGGGAACUGCAUUUGGAACUGGCAGGCUAGAGUGCGACAGAGGGUGGUAGAAUUUCAGGUGUAGCGGUGAAAUGCGUAGAGAUCUGAAGGAAUACCGNAUGGCGAAGGCAGCCACCUGGGUCGACACUGACGCUCAUGUACGAAAGCGUGGGUAGCAAACAGNGAUUAGAUACCCUGGUAGUCCACGCCGUAAACGAUGUCUACUACCAGCUUGGUUCGUUAAGAACUGUUUUGCGCAGCUAACGCAUUAAGUAGACCGCCUGGGGAGUACGNGCCGNCAAGGUUNNAAAANCNUCNAAAUGAAUUGACGGGGGCCCGCACAAGCGGUGGAGCAUGUGGUUUAAUUCGAUGCAACGCGAAGAACCUUACCAUCCCUUGACAUCCAGAGAAUUUACUAGAGAUAGUUUAGUGCCUUCGGGAACUCUGAGACAGGUGCUGCAUGGCUGUCGUCAGCUCGUGUUGUGAAAUGUUGGGUUAAGUCCCGCAACGAGCGCAACCCUUAUCCUUAGUUGCUAGCAGGUUAUGCUGAGAACUCUAAGGAGACUGCCGGUGACAAGCCGGAGGAAGGUGGGGACGACGUCAAGUCAUCAUGGCCCUUACGGGAUGGGCUACACACGUGCUACAAUGGCAAGUACAAAGGGUUGCGAACUCGCGAGAGUAAGCGGAUCCCAUAAAGCUUGUCGUAGUCCGGAUUGGAGUCUGCAACUCGACUCCAUGAAGUCGGAAUCGCUAGUAAUCGUAGAUCAGAAUGCUACGGUGAAUACGUUCCCGGGCCUUGUACACACCGCCCGUCACACCAUGG